rnacentral:rRNA from 1 species
GAUGAACGCUGGCGGCGUGCCUAAUACAUGCAAGUCGAGCGAACAGACGAGGAGCUUGCUCCUCUGACGUUAGCGGCGGACGGGUGAGUAACACGUGGAUAACCUACCUAUAAGACUGGGAUAACUUCGGGAAACCGGAGCUAAUACCGGAUAAUAUAUUGAACCGCAUGGUUCAAUAGUGAAAGACGGUUUUGCUGUCACUUAUAGAUGGAUCCGCGCCGCAUUAGCUAGUUGGUAAGGUAACGGCUUACCAAGGCAACGAUGCGUAGCCGACCUGAGAGGGUGGUCGGCCACACUGGAACUGAGACACGGUCCAGACUCCUACGGGAGGCAGCAGUAGGGAAUCUUCCGCAAUGGGCGAAAGCCUGACGGAGCAACGCCGCGUGAGUGAUGAAGGUCUUCGGAGCGUAAAACUCUGUUAUUAGGGAAGAACAAAUGUGUAAGUAACUAUGCACGUCUUGACGGUACCUAAUCAGAAAGCCACGGCUAACUACGUG